AUGGUCAUUCAGCAGAACAAAGGAGAUGAAGACCCUAAGUGUCAGACGAAAUGGAGAGCUGCCUUUGAGAUGAUAGUAACAGAUGUGGGAGGAGUUGGAGUCCCCAGAAAGCCCCCAUUUACAAGAGGAAAGUGUGUGAAAUGCACAAGAUGAGGACUGAGGAGGGAAUUCGGCACAGGCCCUGAUGCUCCUCAUUCCUCGCCUCACCCCUGCACUGAAAAAGCUGCUAGAGAACCGGCAGUGAGAGGACAGCCUACAAAUUCACCAGCCAUCAACUAGAAGAUCUGUUUGUCCUGUGCAAUCUGUUGCUCACCCUGCUUCACCUGGGCCAGGGGGUCUUCAUCAUGUAGAUGUUGUGGCGAGCCGUGGCUGUGCAUCAUCUUC